rnacentral:rRNA from 1 species
AGAGUUUGAUCAUGGCUCAGAACGAACGCUGGCGGCAUGCUUAACACAUGCAAGUCGAACGAGCAUGAGCCUUAGCUUGCUAAGGAGUUCUGCUAGUGGCGCACGGGUGAGUAACGCGUGGGAAUCUGCCCUAAGGUACGGAAUAACAGCGGGAAACUGCUGCUAAUACCGUAUGAUGUCUUCGGACCAAAGGUUUACUGCCUUAGGAUGAGCCCGCGUCAGAUUAGCUAGUUGGUAAGGUAAUGGCUUACCAAGGCUCCGAUCUGUAGCUGGUCUGAGAGGACGACCAGCCACACUGGAACUGAGACACGGUCCAGACUCCUACGGGAGGCAGCAGUGGGGAAUAUUGGACAAUGGGCGAAAGCCUGAUCCAGCAAUGCCGCGUGAAUGAUGAAGGCCUUAGGGUUGUAAAGUUCUUUUGCCAGGGAAGAUAUUGACGGUACCUGGAGAAUAAGCACCGGCUAACUUCGUG